GUCAGCGUUUGUCUGGAUUCACUGGGAGUCAGGAAGGGGCCUGUCUGGGAGCUUGUGUUGGGUCUGGCUCUGCUGAUCUUUUGUGGGGAGAGACUUAGGAUGAAAUGAGGUAAAGGACAGAACAGGCUCACUCGCAGGACUUCGUGGGUUAGCCACGAGUUCAACACACCUGAGCCGGUCCCACUGCUCAUCCCUCCCAGGGCCCAAAGGCUCUUCCAUGUCACUGAAGUUAUCAUAUGGCGGGCAGAUUCGAACCGUCUAUCCCAGUCACUCUUUUGAAGAGUGAACAAUAUGGAGAAUGUGAACAUAUGUGGCCACGCAGCUGAUAUACACAAGCAUUCCCCACAGCCAUUUAUUUUAAGGCACCGUGUGCUAUUUUUAUCCUCCACAGAAACGCUGCCAAGGGAAUCCGCAGAGGAAAACAAAGGCUCCGGAGCUGCGCGGGCUACUCUGGCUUCACACUUUCACACGACAAAUGAUCACAGCACACUAUUUGCCACCUUGUCUCAGAGACAAAUGUCAUGAAAUAAGUCACUUGUCAUUAUUUGAGUUCAAGUACUUUUUCUUAAAAAACGGCUCUUAAACACAGAUGCAUUUUUUCUUAACUACUGGUCAUGAUAUUCCAUUGCCCCCACCCACGUGUAUGUGUGUGUGUGCGCGUGUGUACAUGUGCGUGUCUGUUGCGGCUUACCUGUAACACUGGUUCUGAGCAAGUGAAACAUUUGCCAAUGUGUUGUGGAAGAGAGUAGCAGUGCUCCUCCCCACCAGGGAACGUUCCCGAGUUGCCAUCUCUGCCUGUGAUUAUGUGCAGGGCAGUCAUGCGGAAGAGAGAUUCUGCGUGGGCAGAACCAUGACCAAGGGAGAGGGGAAGCCAAGAGGAGAGAUUUCAGAUGGAUAAACAAGUUUCUCACAGUCGAGGAAUAAGAACCACACGGGCAGGCUUCCUCGGAGAGGCCCGUGCCCCAACCUAGAGGACAUGAAGCCCAGACCAGGACUGUGACCUGCAGCUGGAGACCCCUCUUGACCCAUGGGGGCUGGUGUGCUAAGGUGCAAAGGGAGGGAAGAGCAACAUGCCGUGUGACACCUGCAGACAGUUCUUCCUGUUCUGGAAUCUUCCGGUUGGCCCCAGGGGUGUACCCUAGGGCAGCCCACAGCCAGCCCCUGCUAGAUCCCGGCUCCCGGCAACCCUCAAUGCUGAACUCUCCCGGGAGUCCUGUGGCGGCAAACAGCCCUGCCCAGUUCUGCCCUCUGGAAUCGGUUGCCUCCCAUUUCCUGGAACAAUACUCUGAGGACAGGUGCUUUUUCUCCGGGCUCAGCAGCCUCGGAUGCCCGAGUUACCUUCCUCCACCCUCCAUUCCCACCUGCUUCGAUGAGCUCUUCAAAUGGUCAAGGCACAGUUCACAUCUGGCCCUGGAAUCCUGACACAGCACGCCAGCCCACAGAGAACUGUCCAGGAUGCCUGAGAGCUGAUGGAGCCACCAAGAGCUAAACUGAAAAGGGACAAAAGGUCACAGGAGAUCCUGUCAAGACAACUGUAACUGGUAGGUACUGUGUGUCGGACGUACUGCACGAUGUCAUUCAAGAAGCUCACGGAACAGCAGUCGGCAGGAGUAACAACAGAAGAAGGAUAGCAGAAGGAAGUUGGCAAGGGGCGUGGACCGCUGUGGGGGGUUCUACAGAAUGAAAAGGAUGGGAGUGGGAUGACCUAUGUAGUUAGACAGUACAGAUGAUAACCAUGACCCCAAAUCAAGAGUAAUAAACAUAUCAAGAAUGUCUCUUUACCA
ensembl:lncRNA